rnacentral:sRNA from 1 species
CGCCAUCGACGACGCCUGGUUCGAUAUGCAUGUGCUCUCCUUUCCGCACCCACCGUGCGGCGUGGCAGUUGUUGAGGCGUGUCGCCCAAGGUGAUGGCAGGUCUCCUGGCUUGCGGGUCGUAGCUUU